GCACUCUGCAAACACGAAAGUGGACGUAUAGGGUGUGAUGCCUGCCCGGUGCUGGAAGGUUAAUUGAUGGGGUCAGCCGCAAGGCGAAGCUCUUGAUCGAAGCCCCAGUAAACGGCGGCCGUAACAAUAACGGUCCUAAGGUAGCGAAAUUCCUUGUCGGGUAAGUUCCGACCUGCACGAAUGGCGUAACGAUCUCCCCGCUGUCUCCAGCAUAGACUCAGUGAAAUUGAAUUCCCCGUGAAGAUGCGGGGUUCCUGCGGUCAGACGGAAAGACCCCGUGCACCUUUACUGUAGCUUUGCGCUGGCAUUCGUGUCGGCAUGUGUAGGAUAGGUGGUAGGCUUUGAAGCAUGGGCGCCAGCUCGUGUGGAGCCAUCCUUGAAAUACCACCCUUAUCGUCAUGGAUGUCUAACCGCGGUCCGUUAUCCGGAUCCGGGACAGUGUAU
rnacentral:rRNA from 15 species